CUGAUGGCGACCGGCGUACGGGUGAGUAACGCGUAUCCAACCUGCCCUUUACUAUGGGACAGCCCGUCGAAAGGCGGAUUAAUACCGUAUGUUGUCAUGUUGAUGCAUAUUUUUAUGACCAAAGGCUUCGGCCGGUAAAGGAUGGGGAUGCGUCUGAUUAGCUUGCCGGCGGGGUAACGGCCCACCGGGGCGACGAUCAGUAGGGGUUCUGAGAGGAAGGUCCCCCACAUUGGAACUGAGACACGGUCCAAACUCCUACGGAAGGCAGCAG
rnacentral:rRNA from 1 species